GACGAACGCUGGCGGCGUGCCUAAUACAUGCAGGUAGAACGCUGAAGGAGGAGCUUGCUCUUCUGGAUGAGUUGCGAACGGGUGAGUAACGCGUAGGUAACCUGCCUGGUAGCGGGGGAUAACUAUUGGAAACGAUAGCUAAUACCGCAUAACAGUAGAUGUUGCAUGACAUUUGCUUAAAAGGUGCAAUUGCACCACUACCAGAUGGACCUGCGUUGUAUUAGCUAGUUGGUGGGGUAACGGCUCACCAAGGCGACGAUACAUAGCCGACCUGAGAGGGUGAUCGGCCACACUGGGACUGAGACACGGCCCAGACUCCUACGGGAGGCAGCAGUGGGAAUCUUCGGCAAUGGACGGAAGUCUGACCGAGCAACGCCGCGGGAGUGAAGAAGGUUUUCGGAUCGUAAAGCUCUGUUGUAAGAGAAGAACGAGUGUGAGAGUGGAAAGUUCACACUGUGACGGUAUCUUACCAGAAAGGGACGGCUAACUACGUG
rnacentral:rRNA from 1 species